GUACUUACCUGACAGGGGAAAUACCAUGGUCAUGAAGAUCAUUUUUCCAGGGCGAAGCUUACCAUUUGCACUCUGGAUAUGGUGACCCCUGCAAUUUUCCCAAGUGGGAAACUCAACUGCAUAAUUUGUGGUAGCGGAGGACUGCAUUCACACUCACCCCUG
rnacentral:snRNA from 1 species